rnacentral:rRNA from 1 species
UGGCGGCAGGCUUAACACAUGCAAGUCGAGCGGUAGCAGAUCUAGCUUGCUAGAUGCUGACGAGCGGCGGACGGGUGAGUAACGCGUAGGAACCUGCCCAGUAGUGGGGGAUAGCCCGGGGGAAACUCGGAUUAAUACCGCAUACGCUCUACGGAGGAAAGAGGGGGCUUCGGCUCUCGCUAUUGGAUGGGCCUGCGUGAGAUUAGCUAGUUGGUGAGGUAAUGGCUCACCAAGGCGACGAUCUCUAGCUGGUCUGGGAGGAUGAUCAGCCACACUGGGACUGAGACACGGCCCAGACUCCUACGGGAGGCAGCAGUGGGGAAUAUUGCACAAUGGGCGCAAGCCUGAUGCAGCCAUGCCGCGUGUGUGAAGAAGGCUUUCGGGUUGUAAAGCACUUUCAGUGGGGAGGAAGGCCUCGUAGUUAAUAGCUGCGAGGAUUGACGUUACCCACAGAAGAAGCACCGGCUAUCCCCGUG